GUGCUUACGGCGACGACCCGAAGUCGGCCCCCCGAAUCCGCCCUAGCCUCCUGGCUUGCUCGCACAUGCUCAGAACGCUGACUCCUGCCCCGCUCUGGUUUCCGGGCUCUCAGCCCUCUUCCCUGGCGCCCGGAGACGGGCUGUGCUAGCAGGAAGGCCUGUGAUGUCUGCAAUCAAGCUGUUCUGAAGUCAAGAGUGGAGGCUCCAUUUCUAAAGAACUCAGAGCGAGCAGAUCUUAUUGACAUCUCAUCUGGGGUCACCUGGUCUUCAAUUGAGACAUCUUUUGGUUCACCACAGAUAUCCCUUGCAGUUAUGGAAGUUGCUGGCAUAAGCUUCUCCACAUAUGUUUAAGAAGACCUCUCCUGGCCGGGCGCGGUGGCUCAAGCCUGUAAUCAAUCCCAGCACUUUGGGAGGCCGAGGCAGGUGGAUCACGAGGUCAAGAUAUUGAGACCAUCCUGGUCAACAUGGUGAAACCCCGUCUCUACUAAAGAUACAAAAAAUUAGCUGGGCAUGGUGGCGCAUGCCUGUAAUCCCAGCUACUCAGGAGGCUGAGGCAGGAGAAUUGCCUGAACCCAGGAGGCGGAGGUUGCGGUGAGCCGAGAUCGCGCCAUUGCACCCCAGCCUGGGUAACGAGAGCGAAACUCCGUCUCAAAAAAAGAGAAGACCUCUCCUUUGACUUUCUCUGCUCCCUCUAACUUACAUCCAAUUAAUCAAAUUAGUUUUUAUUUCUGAAACAAUCUCUCCUAUCUUCCUUAUCUCUUCAUUCCACUGCCAGGUCUCAGAGUCCACCUUUUACUAUUUUCUGUUGGAUUAAGGCAAACUGUAAAGAGCUUCCCUGUCUCCUGCAUUCUCAUCCUUCAGUCCCCCUUCAUGCCCACACUGAAGUCUUCUUCCUAAAACAGGAAUAGGAUGAACUCAAUCUCCUGCCCCAAGCCUGUUAGUGGCUCUGCAAUGCGUACUGGAUCAAGUCUAAUGUAAUGAGAAGGCCCCAUUCAAUCUGGGACAAACUUUUCUUCUUAGCCUAGCAUCCUCCUAUGCCCCAUGCACAGACCUUAGCUGCAGUCACACUAACCACUGCCAUCACCUGGACACACUGUGCUAGUCUACACUCACAUACCCCGAGCUCACGCCUCCCCUUUUCCUGGAAUGCCAUGUCCAUGUGGCCUGGAGACUGACCUAAAGUUAGUGCCAGCAAAGAGCUUAUCAGUAGUGGGGCAGAUCACAGGGGAAAGCAGGUUCUAGAGCUAGAGUGAGGUGUCAAUGAAAAGAAUAGUGAUUUAUUUAGAAGUUAGCUCAUUUCAAGCCAUACAUCUGAAACCUGAUGCCCAAAGAGGAGGCAGAGACCCAGUCAACGACUGAUACAGCUUGGGGGACUGAGCCGCUGGAGACUUGAGAGAACAGUAGGCUGAGGCAAGUGCAACCAAUGGGUUAAUUCCUUACUAAUCUAGCAUCCCUGGAGCAUGGAGUGUUCCAGACCUGGUGGCACCAACAUUUUAACAAGAAAGACUCCCUUUAACAAGUGAGAUUCUGUCUCACAAAAAAUUUAAAGAUUAGCCUGGCGUGGUGGCAUACAACUGAAGUACCAGCUACCCACAGGGCUGAGGUGGGAGGAUCCCUUGAGCCCGAGAGUUUGAAGCUUCUAGGAGUUUGAGGCUUGCUAUGUUCCUCAAGUUGACUUCCAACACCUGGGCUCCAGAGAUUCUCCCACCUCAGCCUCUUGAGUUGUUGGGACUACAGGCAUGCACCACCAUGCCCUGCUGGUUAGCUGUUUUUUUAAAUUAUUAUUUUUUUGAGACAGUCUCACUCUCACCCAGGCUGAGUGUAGUGGCGCAGUCUGGGCUCGCUUUGCCUCUCUCAGAGUGAGGCAACCUCUGCCUCCCCGGUUCAAGCAAUACUCCUGCCUCACCCUCCCAAGUAGCUGGGACAACAGUCGCGUGCCAUCAUGCCCCACUAUUUUUUUUGUAUUUUUAGUAGAGAUGGGGUUUCACCAUGCUGGCCAGGCUGGUCUUGAAAGCCUGACCUUGUGAUCCGCUCACCUCAGUCUCCCAAAGUGCUAGGAUUACAAGCAUGAGCCACAGCACCCAGCCUUAAAAAUUAUUUUUAUAGCACCAUUGAAUUGCUCAUAAGGAAAAAAAUGGUUUGGAUACUUUAAGAAGAAUAAGACAAAUUUGAGCAUUCGGCAAUAAUGGCUGAGCUUGCUAAGAGGCUAUAGUAACCUGGUUACUAGGGAAAUUGUUUUUUUCUUUCCUGAAAAAAAAAAUCCUGUGUUAAUGUAUCAUUUUUAGAUGUGUAAUGUUUAGGAGUCCUUGUUAUUCAAGGAAUAUAAAAUAAGAGGGGCAGUCUCUCAUUAUAUAAUAUAAAACAAAAAGGAAAAAGUAUUGAUCUCAGACUGGGCGUGGUGGCUCACGCCUAUAAUCCCAGAACUUUGGGAGGCCAAGGUGGAUGGAUCACCUGAGUCUCUACUAAUAAUACAAAAAAAUUAGCUUGGCAUGGUGGUGCACUUCUGUAAUCUCAGCUACUUGGGAGGCUGAGGCAGGAGAAUUGCUUGAACCGGGGAGGCGGAGGUUGCAGUGAGCCGAGAUCAGGCCAUUGCACUCCAGCCUGAACAAGAGUGAAAUUCCGUCUCCAAAAAAAAAAAAAAUUGCUCUCAGAGAGAAAGUGAAGGUUACAAUGGCAAUUAACACUUCACAGAAGACAGGUGAAUGCUAUGUGGGUCUCAGAUAUUUGACACCUGGAAAAUGUAGAUAUCAAGCAUAGAACAUAGCUUCAACAGUUUCCUGAAAGUGACAAAGAGAAUGCUAGUUGAGUAAAGAUUUAUAAUCAUACUGGAGCUUUUAGAUCAAUAUUUACAGGAUUUGUAACUUGAUGUUUCUUCUAUAUUCAUGUUGUUACAACAUGGUAUUAAACAAGUUGCUUGGAUAUAAAAUCAGAGCACUGGGGCUCAUGUCCCUAUGCUACUGCUUAGUACUUGUGUGACUUUGGCCAUGUCACCUAACCCUUCUGUCAUCUGCAAGAUGUGGCAGAUGAAGACACCUGCCCUACUGACUUCAAAGACCUAUGCGGAACAUCCAAAGACAUAUUAUAAUAAUGUGAACAUAUUUAAUAGCAAAUUUUAAAGCAGGAUGCAAAUGUUGGUUUUGAGUAUGCAACAUUUAGUGAUUAGCAAAUGGUUAAAUGGUUUAUACAGUCACUUAUUACCUCACGGCUGGCAUACAUUAUAAGAAGUGCACUAAAUCCUUAGGUGAUUUUUUGUCAUUGUGUGAACAUCAUAGAGUGUACUUACACAAAGCUAGAUGGUAUACCCUACUAUAAAUGGAGGCUAUAUGGUCUACCCCAUUACUCCUAGGCUACAAACAUGUAUAGCAUGUUACUUUAUAGAAUACAAUGAUAAGUAUUUGUGUAUCUCAACAUAUCUAAACAGAAAAGUUAUAAUAAAGAUAUAGUGUUAAUAAUCUUAUGGGACCACUUUCAUAUAUGUGAGCCAUCAUUGACUGAAAUAUGUGAUGCAUGACUAUGUUUUCUUUAAAGGAUAUGUUUUUAUAGUGAAAGCAAAAUUAACUUCAUCAGAAAUUUAUUUAAAAGAAAUAACAUUUGUAAAUUAAGGGCACCAGCAUUAGACACCUGAUGGAAGUUAAGUAUAAUGCCAGUCCAUUGCCUUGCAACUGCACAAGUGCCACAGAAAAGUAAGAUACCUGGAAUAUCAUAUUCUGAGAACAUCAAACAGAAGCUUAGACUAAAAUGAUCUGAAAUGGGAGCCGGCAUACCUAGUAUUGAAGCUAGAAAAUGCAUCUAGGGUUUGGUAUUCCAUGAGCUACAGCAGCCAAGCCACUGCUUGGCUCAAUUGUAGCUAAAUUAGAGGAAGAAAAUCAUGCCUUUUAUUUAUCCUUUACUCCCCAGCAACCAGCACAGUGCUCAAGAAGUUAACUAAAUGAAAAAAGAAUCAGAAAAAAAGUUAAAGAAAAAGAGGAAGGAAGAAAGUUAGGAAGGGAGGGAACAUAUCUUAAAAGGAACUGUAAACCAGUCUGUUUUGCAUUUUUAUUUUCUUAGUUUUUUCCCCUCCUAGUUGCCAAUUGAAGUUUCUUCUUAAAAAUAACAACCCUAUGUCAACUGAACUAAGUUAAAAGGUGCUAACCUGGGGUAGAUGAAAAGAAACAAUAUGUCUCUAUAGGUUCUUUGUGAUGAAACAAAUCUGCCUCGACUCAGAACACUAGCAAGGCAUGGGUUAAGGCAAAUAAUACCUAAAAAUUUGGAUGAUUUGUAGAAGAUGGUGAAGUUCAAAGCUCAGCAUUUCCUUCUUGCCUAGGAUUAUUUCACAACACCAGAUCCCAAAUGGAAGGUAACUAACUGCUCCAGUUCAGUUGGCUACCUUGUGAGGCCAGCAUCCAUUACUAGCAAAAAUGGGUAGAAACGGGGAAAUAGCUCCCCUUAAGACCAUAGCUUUUCACCUUGACCUUCCUUCCUUUUCUCUUCUCCAGAAGAUCUCCACCAAGCUUUCAGUAGCACAGCAUACUCAAAAUCUGACUUAUCCAUGAUAACUUUUCUUUUUUUUUUUUAAUUGUUUUGAGAUGGAAUUUCACUCUUGUUGCCGAGGUUGGAAUGUAAUGGCAGGACCAGGUGGAGAUAAUUGAAUCAUGGGUGUGGUUUCCUCCAUACUGUUCUCGUGACACUGAAUUCUCACUAGAUCUGGUGGUUUUAUAAGGGGCUUUCCCCCUUUCCUCCACACUUCUCCUUGCUCUUUUCUUUAUAAAUUAGCCAGUCUUGGUUAUGUCAUUGCUAUUACGACAAAGGAGCACAUAUUCAUAAAGGAAAGACAGAGAAACAUAGAGAUGGCUGACUUUUUUCUUAAUGCCAGGUUUUAGAAAGCAAAGUAUUCAAGGCUUUGAUAUAUAUUAUCAAAUUAUAUUUCAAGGUAUGGUAAUAAUCUACAGUCCUUCCCAAAAGUCCUGAAAAUGUUUAUUUUAUUUCAUUAGGUGUGAUACAUUUAAAAGUCCUUACUAAGUUGAUACACAAGAAUAUAUUCAAAUAAUUUUGCACUUUCUUGAACAUUUUCUUAUAUGUGUAAUAAAUAUAUUUCCUAUUCUGUGUAUGAUCAUUAUGGUUUUUAUACUUUU